rnacentral:rRNA from 1 species
UACGGGGGGGGCAAGCGUUGUUCGGAAUUACUGGGCGUAAAGGGCUCGUAGGCGGCCAACUAAGUCAGACGUGAAAUCCCUCGGCUUAACCGGGGAACUGCGUCUGAUACUGGAUGGCUUGAGAUUGGGAGAGGGAUGCGGAAUUCCAGGUGUAGCGGUGAAAUGCGUAGAUAUCUGGAGGAACACCGGUGGCGAAGGCGGCAUCCUGGACCAACACUGACGCUGAAGAGCGAAAGCCAGGGGAGCAAACGGG